UAUAAGAAAGAAAUAACGACCCGCUCCGAUAACACCCAGCUCCUGCACCAUCAUCAUAUAAUCGUCAUCAUUAGGUGUAGGGGGCACCCUAAAGGGUCAAAUUUAAAAAAGGCCCAUGAACGUUUGUUUGAAAUAACCUCUAGUUUAUGUGUAGGCCUACAACAUUUCCUGCUCGUCCGCUCAAAAUUGCCGACGCUGGACGCUUUUAAAAACAACAAGAACAGCAACAAGAACACCAGAGCUGAACUCCGAGCAGUAAGCCAGAAAUCACUUAACUGCAAUACAUUUUUAAUCUUGCAUUGGACACAGAAUCGCGUACGAGUUUUAUUCAUUUUACAACCUGACAGCGGUGACUAGGCACAUCUACUGAGAUCCGAAAACGGUGUUUCUGGAUUUCGAAAUCUAACAAUCGACGAGUUGUCACCAACAUCAUCUUCAUUGUUCAUACCAAGCGCAGUGAAAUAACAAAUUUCGAAGUCUUCACUAAGGAAUCGUGAUACGGCUGGUAUAAUUUUUCUUCUGGUAAAUACUCUGAGAAUCUACUAAAGUGGCUGAAUUCGAGCCUUACACCAAGCGACGCAAGACGACGGUCACUAUGGAGCCCACUGCCCCUGUACCAUCAAACGGAGUCGGUGGUAUCGUCGCUAUUGAAGAAGAGGUAUGUACAUAUUUAAGUUUAAAAAUUAAUCCACAACAUAGAUUACUUGUUGAAUGUCUUACAUACAUACAUUAACAUUACGCUAUUCGAAUUGAGACUGUUGAAUUCAUAGUGGAAUUAACUUGUGCUCCCGUGGGAAUUGGGGUUAAUUUCUAAACUAUCGUCUGCCACACGAUUCUAAUAAGUCGUCUGCCAAGUUUUGCAGAACCCUGUUGAUAAGGGAAGGUUGAAAGUGGUUUACCAAUAAUGUCCUGUAGUUUUGUCGGAAGCGCUUAAGUGUGUGUAUUGUUUUUAAAGUGAAAGAAUGUUACUGUUCAAACACAUGUGAUGAAAACAGAAAAAAAAAUAAUAGAAAACAAGCAACAAGCUGUACUUGGCAGUACAGUUUUAAAUGCAAAUUCAAAAGUAAAUAAACAAAAAAGUUUUGUCCAAUCAGAUAGAUGCUUCAGACUGGUCCAAUUGUAUCAAAGCUGUAUAAUUUAGAAAUAUAUUUUUCUUUG